UCCUGGUUAGCUCAAUUGGUAGAGCGCUCCACUGGAAAUGGAGAGGUCAUGGUUCAAUACCAAGAACAGGCG
rfam:Ixodes scapularis strain Wikel colony gcontig_1108379136136, whole genome shotgun sequence.